AUAUUUACCUGGAUAGGGUUGAUGGGUGAUCAGUAAGACCCAUGGCCUAGGCUGGUGGAUUUCAUUGCACUUUGUAGGAGCACCUGCCUAAGAUCUCCUCAAGUGGGACAGCCUACAUCAUUAUUUGUGGUAGUGGAGGCCUGUGUCGCGCGAUCCCUUA